CCACUUUAAGAUGAGCCCGCGUCCUAUUAGCUAGUUGGUAAGGUAACGGCUUACCAAGGCUAUAAUGGGUAGCCGGUCUGAGAGGAUGGUCGGCCACACUGGGACUGAGAUACGGCCCAGACUCCUACGGGAGGCAGCAGUAGGGAAUAUUGCGCAAUGGGCGAAAGCCUGACGCAGCGACACCGUGUGAAGGAUGAAGAUUUUCGGAUUGUAAACUUCUGUCAAUUGGGGACGAAGGUAGUAGGGUAAACAGCCCGAAUAAUGACGGUACCCAAUAAGGAAGUCUCGGCUUACUCCGUGCCAGCAGCCGCGGUAAGACGGGGGAGGCAAGCGUUGUCCGGAAUUAUUGGGCGUAAAGAGCGCGUGGUGGUUUGUAAAGUCAUUUGUGAAAACUUUAGGCUUAACUUAAAGACUGCAAGUGAUACUGACAAACUUGAGUACAGUAGAGGAAAGUGGAAUUCCUGGUGUAGCGGUGAAAUGCGCAGAUAUCAGGAAGAACACCAGUGGCGAAGGCGGCUUUCUGGGCUGUUACUGACACUGAGGCGCGAAAGCUAGGGGAGCGAACAGGAUUAGAUACCCUGGUAGUCCUAGCUGUAAACGAUGGAUACUAGGUGUGGGAAGUUAUCGACGCUUUCCGUGCCGAAGCUAACGCAUUAAGUAUCCCGCCUGGGGAGUACGGCCGCAAGGCUAAAACUCAAAGGAAUUGACGGGGGCCCGCACAAGCGGCGGAGCAUGUGGCUUAAUUCGACGCAACGCGAAGAACCUUACCAAGGUUUGACACCAUACUGAAGGUUAUAGAAAUGUAACUGCCCGCAAGGGCAGUAUGACAGGUGGUGCAUGGUUGUCGUCAGCUCGUGUCGUGAGAUGUUGGGUUAAGUCCCGCAACGAGCGCAACCCUCUUCCCAUGUUGCCAUCAGUUCGGCUGGGCUCUCUUGGGAUACUGCCAGUGUAAAACUGGAGGAAGGUGGGGAUGACGUCAAAUCAUCAUGCCCUUUAUACCUUGGGCUGCACACGUGCUACAAUGGCCUGCACAAAGAGCUGCGAUACCGUGAGGUGGAGCGAAUCUCAAAAAACAGGUCUAAGUCCAGAUUGAAGGCUGAAACUCGCCUUCAUGAAGUCGGAGUCGCUAGUAAUCGUGGAUCA
rnacentral:rRNA from 1 species